CCCUUAGAUGUUCUGGGCCGCACGCGCGCUACACUGAUGCAUUCAACGAGUUUCUUCCUGGUCCGAGAGGAAUGGGUAACCUUUUGAAAGUGCAUCGUGAUAGGGAUAGACUAUUGCAAUUAUUGGUCUUCAACGAGGAAUGCCUAGUAGGCGCAAGUCAUCAGCUUGCGUCGAUUACGUCCCUGCCCUUUGUACACACCGCCCGUCGCUCCUACCGAUUGGGUGUGCUGGUGAAAUGUUCGGAUCGGCCGUUUGUCGCGGUUUCCGCGGCUCGUGGCUGAGAAGUUCAUUAAACCCUCCCACCUAGAGGAAGGAGAAGUCGUAACA
rnacentral:rRNA from 1 species